CCUUUUUUCUCUCUCAUUCGGGGAUGACAUGUGCGUUGCAUAAGAAAGUAGCCGACUUUGUCCCCCCCCCUCCCCCUUUCCAUGCGUGUUUUUUUUUUUAUUAUUAUUAUUAUUUUUUUAACAAGGCGGAUGCUACGUAUAGCCACACAUUAUUCGCGCACAUCCGCAAUUCCGGUUCCCUCCUCCGUUUUUCCCCGUUUUUCUUAUUCUCAUUUUCCAUGGAAUGACACGAGAGAAUUUUCAACGUUCCCGUGAAUCCAACAAAAAAAAACGUAAGGGAUGGGCUAAUGUGUGUGGGUCCUCGCUGGCUUGCAGCGUGUGUGAACGCUGUUGCUGCCGAGGGCGGCAGAAAUAGAAGAAGAAGACGAAAAGGGAAGAAGAAGAAGAAAGAAAAAAAAAAACGAAAAAAUUCCCGCGGCCAUAUCGGGGUUGAUGGUGGAAGUAAAAAUUAAAAAAAAAAUAUAUAUAUAUAGUGGUAGUGGUGGUGGUGGUAGUACAGUGGUGAAGCGGCACAGCAGCGCAUCCUCCCGAAGGCCAAAAAAAGAAUUUCUCGUCCGACUCUUUUCUUUCUAUAGUCGGGCAACAAGAAAUUCACGAUGCCAUACAUGAAAAAAAAAAAAAUGCACAUUUCUUUUUCAUAUAUAUAACCGAACGUAGGUGUACCUACAAUUCUAUCGACGACGAUCACGCGCACGGGGGGGAAAGACGAAAGAGAGGGGCAUUAAAUAAUGCAUUUUGGCUAUAUGUGUGUGUGUGUGUGUGUGAGUGUGUGUGUAGAAAAAAGAAUAAAACCAGCCGAACUUUUAAUAAAUUCCAAAGGCGGCCUGCUUUUCUCUUUUCAAACGCACAUAUACGUAUUUUAUGCGAUGUUGGUUUCCUUUUUUUGGGUUGUUCGAUGGGAUGUUCGAGCUCACGGUAAGCCGGGGUGGGUUUUUUGAACGCGUAGCGAACUGGAAAAGAGAAAAAGCCUGGCGUACGUUCGAGAAAACGGAAAGAAAACCCGCAUCGUUAUGUAUGUUUUGUUGAGAAGUUUUGGGUUGAGUAUGCUCUCUUUUCGUCCGUGUCUUUUUAAAGGUGGGUGGAACGGACGAGGUGCGCGGGAAAAAAAGGAACAAAAUUGGUCGAGAAAAUUAUACAACCGCUGAGUUCGGGGGAAGGGGCCGACCACUUUGGAUCGUGAUGUUCUUCUGUACACAUUUUCUCUCGCUCUCGUUUGUAAUUUAACCGACAAAUGGUGUUACGUACACUGAAAACACUUUUCCCUUUUCAUGGUAUAUAGCGAACCAAACAAGCUGUACGUUCGGACUUUGUCCUUCCAUCCCUCCUCUUUGCGUGAAAAUGUCUUUUUUUUUAUUCAAAGAGAUGCCGGUGU